rnacentral:lncRNA from 1 species
UUAUCAUGUGAUACAGUCCUUCUAUCGUGGAUCCCUACAAGAUGGAGGUCAUGGAUAACUCGUCAAACCCCUUCGUCUGUCAUAUGUUAAGAUUUAUUCGACUUAAGUUCGAGAGCGGAGAACUCUUUCUCCACUGUGCAAUCUGCCCCGGCCGAGGUCUUACGAACUCAGUCUUAUAAAUCACAUAGGAUCUCUCCUUAUCUAUCAAGGUCGAUAGGUUCCUUGUAGAUGCAUACCCUACUCUUACAGUGAACCUACUGCAGCCAAUCUACACUGCAUGGACCCAU